rnacentral:rRNA from 1 species
GGUGGUUUGUCGCGUUGUUCGUGAAAUCUCACGGCUUAACUGUGAGCGUGCGGGCGAUACGGGCAGACUUGAGUACUGCAGGGGAGACUGGAAUUCCUGGUGUAGCGGUGGAAUGCGCAGAUAUCAGGAGGAACACCGGUGGCGAAGGCGGGUCUCUGGGCAGUAACUGACGCUGAGGAGCGAAAGCGUGGGGAGCGAACAGGAUUAGAUACCCUGGUAGUCCACGCCGUAAACGGUGGGUACUAGGUGUGGGUUUCCUUCCUUGGGAUCCGUGCCGUAGCUAACGCAUUAAGUACCCCGCCUGGGGAGUACGGCCGCAAGGCUAAAACUCAAAGAAAUUGACGGGGGCCCGCACAAGCGGCGGAGCAUGUGGAUUAAUUCGAUGCAACGCGAAGAACCUUACCUGGGUUUGACAUGCACAGGACGCCGGCAGAGAUGUCGGUUCCCUUGUGGCCUGUGUGCAGGUGGUGCAUGGCUGUCGUCAGCUCGUGUCGUGAGAUGUUGGGUUAAGUCCCGCAACGAGCGCAACCCUUGUCUCAUGUUGCCAGCGGGUAAUGCCGGGGACUCGUGAGAGACUGCCGGUGAUAAGCCGCGAGGAAGGUGUGGAUGACGUCAAGUCCUCAUGGCCCUUACGGGAUGGGCUACACACGUGCUACAAUGGCGGUGACAGUGGGACGCGAAACCGCGAGGUUGAGCAAAUCCCCAAAAGCCGUCUCAGUUCGGAUUGCACUCUGCGACUCGGGUGCAUGAAGGCGGAAUCGCUAGUAAU